GUGCAAACUCGAUCACUAGCUCUGCGUCCUGUGGCAGAAGCGAGGGGAACCAGGUUUGCUAAAGUAAUUGUGGGGCUAGCACCGUGUGAACCUCGGAAGCUGCUGAGGUGGCCCGGGCUACCCCAGGACAGUG
ensembl:snoRNA SNORA66 Small nucleolar RNA SNORA66